rnacentral:misc_RNA from 1 species
AAGGAGCACCACGAAAAGGGUUGAGACACUGGGUCUUACCCGAGCCGUGAGGAACCGGUUGCCUGUAGUGGGCACGGUUUGGUGCACAACAAACUUUUUUGACUGCCAGACACACUAUUGGGCUUUGAGACAACAGGCCCGUGCCCCUUUUGGGGGGUGGCAUCCGGUUGCGGGUGUCGGCGUGUUGUUGCCUCACUUUGGUGGUGGGGUGUGGUGUUUGAUUUGUGGAUAGUGGUUGCGAGCAUCUAGCACGCAGAAUCGUGUGGUCUCACUCCUUGUGGGUGGGGCUGGUUUUGUGUGU